rnacentral:rRNA from 1 species
UACUAAUACCGGAUAUUCUUGCUUUAUAUAAGUUUUGCAAGCAAAGGUGGCCUCUGACAUAAGCUACUGCAUAAAGAGGGGUCUGCGUACCAUUAGCUUGUAGGUGGGGUAAUGGCCUACCUAGGCUACGAUGGUUAGCGGGUCUGAGAGGAUGAUCCGCCACACUGGCACUGGAACACGGGCCAGACUCCUACGGGAGGCAGCAGUGAGGAAUAUUGCGCAAUGGGGGCAACCCUGACGCAGCGACGCCGCGUGAGUGAGGAAGGCCUUCGGGUCGUAAAGCUCUGUCAAAGGGAAAGAAAUGUAUAAUGGCUAAUACCUGUUAUAUUUGACGGUACCCUUAAAGGAAGCACCGGCUAACUCCGUGCCAGCAGCCGCGGUAAUACGGAGGGUGCAAGCGUUGUUCGGAAUUACUGGGCGUAAAGGGCGCGUAGGCGGUUUGAUAAGUCAGAUGUGAAAGCCCACGGCUUAACUGUAGAAGUGCAUUUGAUACUGUCAGACUUGAGUACCAGAGGGGAAAGUGGAAUUCCCGGUGUAGAGGUGAAAUUCGUAGAUAUCGGGAGGAAUACCGGCGGCGAAGGCGACUUUCUGGCUGGAUACUGACGCUGAGGCGCGAAAGCGUGGGGAGCAAACAGGAUUAGAUACCCUGGUAGUCCACGCUGUAAACGAUGUCACUAGAUGUAGGGGGUGUUGAUCCCUUCUGUGUCGCAGCUAACGCAUUAAGUUGAC